rnacentral:rRNA from 1 species
AUGACAAAAUAUUGGUGGAGCAGCUCUGUUGAUAGGCGGUCCUUGCACUGUCUGUCAUGGGAGAAUUUGUCAACACCAAAGGUUCAAGGGGGCAUGGGGUUCAGAGAGUUCGAAAAGUUUAAUCUGGCGCUUCUUGGGAAGCACGGCUGGCGACUCAUAACUCACCCUAAUUCCCUUUGCUCUCGAGUCCUCAAAGGGAAAUAUUUCCUGGACUGUGAUUUUAUGCAGGCCAAAGCUCCAUCCACCUCGUCAGCAACCUGGAAAGCAAUCAUUGCGGGGAGAAAGUCUUUGCAAACGGGAUUGAUCAAACGAGUUGGCAACGGAGAAUCAAUCUCCAUCUGGAACGAUUCUUGGAUCCCCACCACUUCCACCCUCAAGCCCAUGGGGAGGAUAGGGAACGACCCGCUUCAGCGGGUCUCUGAGCUAAUUGAUGACAGUACUGGGACCUGGGAUAUUGAAACAGUACGGCGGAAUUUUCUUGCACCUGAUGCGGAGGCCAUACUCAACAUUCCUAUUCGACGCAAUGGUGGAGAGGAUUUCCUGGAGUGGGCCUUUGAAAGAUCCAGAGAGUACACUGUAAAAUCAUCCUAUCGUGCUCUUGUGACUCAGAACGAGCGUCGAGCUCUAGAGGAAGGGACGGUAGUGGGAACCUCAUCUUCGCAAAAACAGUUGUGGACUACUCUAUGA